AAGGCUUGAAGAAGCCCAAGGGCGAACCCAGGCCAGGCCUCUCAGGGCUCGGGGGAGGGGAGAGGAGCAGGAAGGGGGCGGUUCCUCACUGGCCCCGCCCACCCCAGGGACGGGGCGCCGAGGGGCCGCUCGCUGGUUUCCGUCGCGGCCUCUUCUCGCGAGAGUGGGAUUCCUUGACUCCACCCCGCCGUGGUCUCACACUUGAUUUUAGCCGAAAGGCGGAGAAGCGAUCCGCCGUGGUCUUACGAGGGUUGUCUCUGGGAGUUACCGCGCGAGGUAGAGGUAUGCUUUCUGCGGUGCGCCUGGUGACUGAGUCGGAGUUCCAGCUGUUGCCUGCGUGGUUCCUUUGAGCGAGGUCUAGGGAGUUCCUAGAAGUCUGAGGACUCCUGGGGGUGCGGUCCCGAUGAACAGUGCGAGAUCUUCAGCCAAAAAGGGUCGCUGAGAACGUUUUGUACUAGCUUCAGUAGAUUUUUUUUGUUUGUGCUAACGGUGUGGAAAGAAAACAACAACAAAAAGACCAUAAAAUAGUGAUGUCCCGAACAUUAUGGAAAAAAGCAGGAGAAACUAAGCUUUAGAAAUGAAAGGUGCUGCCAGCCUGGUUUCCAGGGUUACCGCUGUCCUGAACCUAAAGACCCAGAAUGUGAUGAGCUCCUGUUUUUAAACGCGCUGCUGCUUUUCCGUCAACUGGGCUUCCAGAUACAAAGCCCAGAAGCUUCCCCUCGCUGAAUGGUAACCAGCGCACCGCUACUGACAGCAAACACAGUCUAGCUCUUGCUACAAAAAUGACCAUGGAAGGAUUCUGACUCUCCAAUCCUGAUCACAAACCCACCAUCUGUACUCAUCACUGUGGCCAGAGAGUGCAAUCCCCUAAUACAUGUCAAGAAAACAUGAUGAUGGAUGGAACUGACUGCCCUGCUGUUAUGCAGGUGCUGUGUUCUGUAUGUCAGUAUCCUAGAGAGCAGCACUUGCAUCCCAAGACACAACAGAAGCCAGAGAUCACCAAAGAUCACAUUUUAUGCCAGGGGGAGGUAGUGACCGAAAUACUGAUCCUUAAUAACAUGUGCACAGUGUUCUUUAGCAUCUGGGCAUUACCAGAAUUAUUUAAAAUAUAUAUAUUAAAAUUAUUAGUAUUUUAAAGAAGAUCAAAUAAUGUAUGAUUGUAUUGCAUUCUUACACACUGCUUUUCAAUGCCCUUAUAUCUGGUAUACUUUGUUCUUCCUCCUAGAAUGCAUUUCUCUUUCAUUUUCUAAGCCUUUAAGAUCCUAUCUGAAUGUCUUUUAUGAAAUAGUUUCA